UUCUCUGUAUUUUCAAACUUUAAAAGUGAAGCUCAUCUUAAAAUUCAGGGGAAAAACCCAAACAAAAAACAGUUUUAGACAUUUUGCUAAUAUACAUGGGGGGCAGGGGGCACGGGACACACACAAAAUCAGUUGUUGCCACAACCACGGCCAUCCAUAUUUAAGUUUCUUCAUACUCCAAACAAACAGCAAAAGACAGCAAUUUCAAGUACAUUUUUAAUACCAGAAUUUCACUUAGACUACACAGGUAAUAGUCUUAGCAAAUGGAAGAGUGGUACUGUAACUUAAAACCACAGUCUGAAACUAUUACAUACUUCUGAGAAUGAUAUGCCCAUUGUUUCCACUUAAAAGUAAACUAGUAGUUGUAAAGAGGAUGUUAAAUAUUCCUGGGAAUUUAUGCCUCUCCACUUUACAUAUACUUAUUAGAGCAGCAGUACCUCAUUAUAUAUUUCCCUGUACCUCGAAUUAGUGUAACUGGACAAGCUCCAUUUACUUUAAUGCAGCAUUAAGCAAUGCAUUAAUCCAAAAUGGCCAACAACUCAGAGUCACAAAAUGUAACAUCAGCACUGUGAUCCUCCCUCUAGGUAGCUGGUAUAGUAAAAUCUGUAUUUAAAGUACCAAGAAUAAGAUAGUUCUGAGAUCAUAGUAGGAUCACUGCAAAAAUACAUGCAUCUAAGCAAGCGCUUCAGCAAUCGUUUAUUCAGAACUAAUCCUGUGCCAUGAAAACAGUUGCUUAUAAUUACACAGUCAGGCACAUAUUUUCAUCAAGUACAGUGGUAGAUUAGAAUAAAUACAAUUUAUUGCUUUGAACCAAAGACCAGAAUUGUUGCCAACUGCUUCAAUAUUUCAAGUAAGUCUACAGAAAACAUGGGAGAAGGCUGAAGUGUGAGCUCAGAAAUAAUGAAGUAAUUAAUUUUCCUUAACCUCUUCUCCACAUAACUCAUUAUAAACAUACUAAUGAAGAUAAAUACUUUUCUCUCCCCUGCACUCUUGUUUUAUUUUUUGGAUGCUGAAGAAUAUCAGGAGGAAAUAAUGCUAUACCAUUCUAUCAUUUCAUUUUGUAAAAGGGUCUGAAACAUAUUCUAGUUUCAUCAUAAAAUUGAGCCAAACUAAACAUGCGGCUCAUGAUCAUGUAAUAGUAUCGAGGACUCCCCGUACAAACAAUCCGGGCUUGUGUUCCAGACAAGUUUUGCCAAAUACGCA
rnacentral:lncRNA from 1 species